AGGAUUAACGCUGGCGGCGUGCCUAACACAUGCAAGUCGAACGAGGGGGCAACCCCUAGUGGCAGACGGGUGAGUAACACGUGGUCAACCUACCGCUUUGUGGGGGAUAACUAGCCGAAAGGCUAGCUAAUACCGCAUACGUCUUUGGCCGGCAUCGGCCGAUGAUAAAAGGAGCAAUCCGCAAGGUGACGGGACCGCGUCCCAUUAGCUAGUUGGUGAGGUAACGGCCUACCAAGGCGACGACGGGUAG
rnacentral:rRNA from 1 species